rnacentral:tRNA from 1 species
GCCCCGGUGGCUCAGCCUGGUGGAGCGACUGACUUGUAACCAGGUGCAGGAAAUCAGUAGGUCGUGGGUUCAACUCCCACCCGGGGCU